UACGGAGGAUGCGAGCGUUAUCCGGAUUUAUUGGGUUUAAAGGGUGCGUAGGCGGAGUGUCAAGUCAGCGGUAAAAUUUCGGGGCUCAACCCCGUCGUGCCGUUGAAACUGACGCCCUUGAGUGAGUGAGAAGUAAGCGGAAUGCGUGGUGUAGCGGUGAAAUGCAUAGAUAUCACGCAGAACUCCGAUUGCGAAGGCAGCGCACCGGCGCCCUACUGACGCUCAGGCACGAAAGCGUGGGUAUCGAACAGG
rnacentral:rRNA from 1 species